AGGGCAAGUCUGGUGCCAGCAGCCGCGGUAAUUCCAGCUCCAAUAGCGCAUAUUAAAGUUGUUGCAGUUAAAAAGCUCGUAGUUGAAUUUCGGGGUCAGCAGGUCGGUCGUGCCAAUGGUAUGCACUGGCCUUGCUGAUUCCUCCCUCUUGAUGAGCCGUAAUGCCAUUAAUUUGGUGUUGCGGGGAAUCAGGACUGUUACUUUGAAAAAAUUAGAGUGUUUAAAGCAGGCAAGCGCUUGAAUACAUUAGCAUGGAAUAAUGAAAUAGGACGUUUGAUCCUAUUUUGUUGGUUUCUAGGAUUGACGUAAUGAUUAAUAGGGAUAGUUGGGGGCAUUAGUAUUCAAUUGUCAGAGGUGAAAUUCUUGGAUUUAUUGAAGACUAACUACUGCGAAAGCAUUUGCCAAGGAUGUUUUCAUUAAUCAAGAACGAAAGUUAGGGGAUCGAAGACGAUCAGAUACCGUCGUAGUCUUAACCAUAAACUAUGCCGACUAGGGAUCGGAUGAUGUUAAUUUUUUAAUGACUCAUUCGGCGCCUUACGGGAA
rnacentral:rRNA from 1 species